rnacentral:rRNA from 1 species
UACGAAGGGGACUAGCGUUGUUCGGAAUCACUGGGCGUAAAGCGCACGUAGGCGGAUGUGUCAGUCAGGGGUGAAAUCCCGGGGCUCAACCUCGGAACUGCCUUUGAUACAGCACGUCUCGAGUCCGGAAGAGGUGGGUGGAAUUCCUAGUGUAGAGGUGAAAUUCGUAGAUAUUAGGAAGAACACCGUGGCGAAGGCGGCCCACUGGUCCGGUACUGACGCUGAGGUGCGAAAGCGUGGGGAGCAAACAGG